rnacentral:rRNA from 1 species
AUUGAACGCUGGCGGCAUGCCUUACACAUGCAAGUCGAACGGCAGCACGGGGCAACCUGGUGGCGAGUGGCGAACGGGUGAGUAAUGCAUCGGAACGUACCUUUCAGUGGGGGAUAACGUAGCGAAAGUUACGCUAAUACCGCAUAUUCUGUGAGCAGGAAAGCAGGGGAUCGCAAGACCUUGCGCUGAUUGAGCGGCCGAUGUCAGAUUAGCUAGUUGGUGAGGUAAAGGCUCACCAAGGCGACGAUCUGUAGCGGGUCUGAGAGGAUGAUCCGCCACACUGGAACUGAGACACGGUCCAGACUCCUACGGGAGGCAGCAGUGGGGAAUUUUGGACAAUGGGGGCAACCCUGAUCCAGCCAUGCCGCGUGAGUGAAGAAGGCCUUCGGGUUGUAAAGCUCUUUCGGCCGGGAAGAAAUCGCACGGGCUAAUACCCUGUGUGGAUGACGGUACCGGAAUAAGAAGCACCGGCUAACUGCGUGCCAGCCGCCGGUAAGAC